CCUAACACAUGCAAGUCGAACGGAGUCAAGAGGAGCUUGCUUUUCUUGACUUAGUGGCGAACGGGUGAGUAACGCGUGAGCAACCUUUCCCAGACAGGGGAAUAACACACCGAAAGGUGUACUAAUACCGCAUAAGACCACGGGAUCACAUGGUUCUGGGGUAAAAGAUUUAUCGGUUUGGGGUGGGCUCGCGUCCGAUUAGGUAGUUGGUGAGGUAACGGCCCACCAAGCCGACGAUCGGUAGCCGGACUGAGAGGUUGAACGGCCACAUUGGGACUGAGACACGGCCCAAACUCC
rnacentral:rRNA from 1 species